UACGUAGGUGGCAAGCGUUGUCCGGAAUUACUGGGUGUAAAGGGAGCGUAGGCGGGGAGACAAGUUGAAUGUUUAAACUAUCGGCUCAACCGAUAAUCGCGUUCAAAACUGUCGAUCUUGAGUGAAGUAGAGGCAAGCGGAAUUCCUAGUGUAGCGGUGAAAUGCGUAGAUAUUAGGAGGAACACCAGUGGCGAAGGCGGCUUGCUGGGCUUUAACUGACGCUGAGGCUCGAAAGCGUGGGUAGCAAACA
rnacentral:rRNA from 1 species